rnacentral:misc_RNA from 1 species
AUUUAAAAUUUUAAUUAUAAUUUAUGCUCUUGCUUUCUGUGAGCUAAGAAAAAUUCUUGCAAAUAAAACUGUGUCUUCUUGUGUCUGUGUUUUGAAGUUGUCAUGUGAAAGAAAUAGGUUUAUUAAUUUGUAGACUUUUGCUGAAGCUUCUCCUUCACUCUAUUUACAAUCUGUAAUCUCUGAUUUCUUUACAUCCUACAAAUACAUUGAAAUUAGAAGGCCUUUUGCAUGACCCUGAUUAUUGACAACACAAAAACACCAAAUAACUUUACCAUUCCAUAUGUCAUGAUGCAUGGACUAUUAUUCUAGGACUCUAAAAAUCAAGUUAAAACUAGUCAAUCUCUAACAGGUUUUGAGUAGCGAUGUUAAAGACUGCAGGGGGUUGCUUUUAUUUUCCCCCCAUAUAAUUUCUAAUAAUUAGACAUGCUUAGUUUGGUUUGGUCUUCAUAAAAGUUAUUAACUGCUAUUGUCUUACUCCUUCAG